GGGAAUGUGACUCAGUGGUAGAGUGCUUGCCUAUCAUGCAUGAAGCCCUGGGUUCAAUUCCA
rnacentral:tRNA from 1 species